rnacentral:lncRNA from 1 species
UUCAUUGGACCUGCAUCAGUCUUCAUUGGAGUUGGAUCAGUGGACAUCCCUCCUGGGGACAUGCCUCCCGGGGAAAAACCUCUCGGGGACAACGAAGGAUCUUCACGGGGCACACUCUGUCCACCUUCCUUUGUUCCUCUUCGUCUAGCUUUCUCAUAAGCAACCUCCUGCUCCAAGUGAAGGACCUCCCUUUUAAGCUCUGCAACUAGAUUUUGCUGAUGCUCCAUGCUACGCAUAACACUGUCUUUCAGUUUUUGUUUCAAUAUUUUCUUUGCUGAAGGUG